CAGAGUUCAUGCCCUUCGGGGUAGAUCUCCCACCCUUGUGUAUCAUUAUAGAAUGUUGCUUUGGCGGGCCGCGCCUCGUGCGCCUAGAUUCGCGUCUAGCGUGCCCGCCAGAGGACCCCUAAACUCUGAAUGUUAGUGUCGUCUGAGUACUAUUAAAUAGUUA
rnacentral:misc_RNA from 2 species